UUUGUGUUUCUGCACUUGCCAAUAUGACCAACAGAGGGCGCCAGAGGCUUAUUGCGUGGAUGUGGUGACGUCUGCCGUCUCUGAUCGCCUUGUUUUACUGAUGAAAAGUGGAAAGAAGUGCCAAAAUUGCAGGGUGAUGAGUAUCAAUAAAGUCCCCUCAAAUUGGUGGAACUUCCUUAGAGACAACAACAAGGCUAUCCGAGAUGGCAGACUUCACCCCAUUCACGCAACAAGCCUCUGUCGGCCUAUAGGGUCAAAAUUCUAAAAAGGAUAUUCUAAAUUCUAACAAGCUUGGCUGACAAGAUAUCCCAGAUGUGUGCCACAAACAUUGUCAGAUUGCUGUGCGCAAUCACCCAAUAAGCCUGGUGAAAAUGGCCCCCUGCAGUCAUGAGGAAGCUGACACUAGAAUAGACCAGGCAAGUAGUAGAGGAGGGUUGCCUUUGGCCAAGGCCUGAAUCUGAGGUGGAUUCCCAUCCAUGAACUCUUUUUGUCUAUUGGAUUGCAGAAGAGCAAAGGCAUUCUCCUCUUCCAUGCCUUCACUGGCUGCGAUGUUGUGUCAGCCUUCCGUGGUAAAGGCAAGAAGACUGCAUGGCAAACCUGGGAUGUUUGUCCUGAGGCCUCUGAUGCUUUCAGCAAACUCAAAAGCCAGUAUCCACCAACAAUACACGAUUCUGACAUGAAGACAUUGGAAAACUUUGUGGUCAUGACAUAUGACAGAUCCAGUAUAGCUGAUGGUGUUGAUGACGCAAGGUUAAACAUGUUUGCUCGGAAGCAGAGGCCAUAAGAAGCAUCCCUCCUACUCAAGCUGCUCUACUCCAACAUGUAUCAGGCAGGUUGCAUAUCAGGGUCAAUCACUAGUCAAACAGGAAAACAAAGUCCUACUCGCUGGGGAUGGACGAAGAAAGUUGAUCUGUGGCAGAUCUUUUGGACCAAUCUCACCCCUAUUGCAGAAAGUUGCCAAGAACUGACCAAGGGUGGUUGCAAAUUGAAUGUCAUGGAAGGUGCAAAUGCUAAUGCUUUGAUCUUACUUGCACAGUAUUGUGUAGCUGUAGAUGUGAAGAUUAAGUUCUGUUCCAUACAUUAGUUAGAGCAUGGUUUAGGUGAUUAUAUAUUCUAACACAACUGUUGAUUGGAAAAUGUUAAGGUUUAUUUACAUUAUAUAUCUUUGAUCAUAAGAGUUUUUGUUGUAUGCCACGCUGUACAAAUGAUAUGUACAACAGUAAGCAAAGGAUUCAGCUCCUCAUGAGCAAAUAAAUUGACCAUUUUUGUACACGU